GCCCAGACUCCUACGGGAGGCAGCAGUGGGGAAUAUUGCGCAAUGGGCGAAAGCCUGACGCAGCGACGCCGCGUGAGGGAUGAAGGUCUUCGGAUCGUAAACCUCUGUCAGCAGGGAAGAACGGUCACUGUGCUAAUCAGCAGUGAAUUGACGGUACCUGCAAAGGAAGCACCGGCUAACUCCGUGCCAGCAGCCGCGGUAAUACGUAGGGGGCGAGCGUUAUCCGGAUUUACUGGGUGUAAAGGGAGCGUAGACGGUUCUGCAAGUCUGAAGUGAAAGCCCGUGGCUUAACCGCGGAACGGCUUUGGAAACUGUGGAACUGGAGUGCUGGAGAGGCAAGCGGAAUUCCUAGUGUAGCGGUGAAAUGCGUAGAUAUUAGGAGGAACACCAGUGGCGAAGGCGGCUUGCUGGACAGUAACUGACGUUGAGGCUCGAAAGCGUGGGGAGCAAACAGGAUUAGAUACCCCUGUA
rnacentral:rRNA from 1 species